UAUGUUGAGAAGUGGUAUUUGGGUGUGGCUUUCAACUGCAUAUGGUAAAUGUUUUCUCCUAUACCUUGUUCAUUUUUAAUUCCAAAACGUAAUGUACUUUCUGGAUAGCCCUCGUAUUUUAUUAUCAUAUCGCCGUAGUGUUUUAUAUUUUAGCAGACCACACACUGUCCUCAUCGUGUUAUUUAGUGGGUGGUUUAGAAGUGCAAUAGAGCAAACAAACCAAUAAAGUCAUAACAGUCUUAAAUUAGGGGCCAGCUGUUGCCGGAAGAGACGCUCCUUCGGAUCCCGGGCUUGUGUCCCGACUGACCCGUCUGUGACCUUCUUUCGAGGCACAAAGAUUGCUGCUUCCAUUGCAAGACCGCAGCUCGCUCCAUCAAAAAGAAUAGCUCAAGCUCUUGCAAAAGAUUAAAACACUCGCUGUAACAGGUCCCAUUGUGUUCCAGCAACAUCCUUCACAGUAAGAACACCACAAAUACAUCUGAAAUUACACUCUUAUCAGCGCCAAACACCACAGCAAUGCUCCAUGCCAAUAAGGACUAUGAGAAUUGUGGCAUCCUGCCUCAGUUCAGCAGGAGAAAAGAAAAGAAAAAUCCUGAAAGGCAGAACAGCUCUGCAGAUGAACUGGGGAUUCUGCAGCUGUGAGGCCUGGAUGGAAGUCAGGAAUUCAAAAUGACAUGCAGCAACGCCAAGCGCUUUCCUGACCUCAGCUCCGAUCACACUGAGAAUGGCCAAAUACGGUAACUGAUAUUACUCAACACCGAGGGGACCUCUGCAAAAUGUUACAGAAACUUCCUAGCGAUGUCUGGGAAGAUCUCAUCCAGGCUGACAGAGGGGUGCCAUUCACACUUUCGAUGGAUACAGAAGAGCUCCUAAGGCGCGCCAAUAUUAAAACCAGCUCUGACACAGCAUCAACACCUUUUCAAUCUAAUCAGCAUAUGUGCUUCAGAGAAAUUCCAACCAUCACAGUAUGACUGAAAUAUUUCAAUUCCAUCUCGUACGGCUUCCAAAAUUCUUGCAGCUUGUCAUAUUUCCAACCAAAUAGUUUGCGAAUCAUAACAUGAAAUAGUACUAUUCUUUCCACACAAUAUAUGCAUCUACAGUGAUACCUUAAGACAGUGAUGGCCAACCUAUGACAUGCGUGUCAGCACUGACACGCCUAGCCAUUUUUGCUGACACGCUGCAUGCAGAUUGAUUGGAUGACUAUGUCUUUUGUGGCCAAAUUCGGUCCGAUUUGGUCCAGUGGUUUUGUUGUUUACUCCAUGGGAAUUAUGCACAUUACAUUAUCAUUAUAUCAUUCUAUUAUUAUUCUAUUUAUUUUAAUUUUUUUGCCAACACCUUUCCCAUUUCUCCAGGCUUAUGGUGUGUCCGAACUCCCUUGCCCAGGUGGUCAUGUUUUCCUUAAUAUAAACCUCUUCAGUUGCCCAGAUCAACAGCUGUUGGUAUAACAUUUUGAUAAUUUUCUUUUCCAUCUUUAAGAUUUUAUCCCAUGUUGUCUCAUUCCUCUCAAAUCCUGUCUGAUAGUCUAUUUUAAAGCCUUCCCUAAUCUGCCAAUAAUUUAGCCAUGUUACAGAUGGUUCGAGUUGUUUUACUUCCUGGUAUGAUUUUAACCUUAUUCCAUCAUUGUCUGUUUUUGUCAAUUGUUUGUAUGUUAGCCAUCUUUCCCUGGGAAUCUCCCUCAUGUGUUCUGCCUCUAAACUAAAAUAUACAUAUUCAACACAGCUAAAGGAAAGUUGGUAUAAUAUUUACUUCAGGUGGUAUAUUACACCAGAAAAACUGGCAAAAAUGAACAAGAAUAAGAAUGGGGACAAGUGUUGGAAAUGCAAGAAAGAGAAGGGAGAUCUUUUUCAUAUGUGGUGGGGGUGCAAGAAGGUAAAAAGGUUUUGGAGAGCAAUACAGAAGGAAAUGGAGACUAUACUACAAAUGAAACUUGCACUGAAACCAGAAUAUUUUCUGUUAGGGUUAACGGACUUCUUCACGGACACAAAUAAUGAAAAAUUGUUUAUAUACAUGAUAAGUGCAGCCGGAAUUACGAUGGCAAAACUCUGGAAAACAGCGGAAACACCGUCGCUAGAACAAUGGACUGUGAAAUUGAUGGACAUUCAAAAUAUGGACAUAUUAACACAGAUAAUUUCAGAAAAAACGGACACAAAAACAGACUGGGACAAAUUAAGUAAAUUUCUCAAGGAAAAACAGAAAAAUGGAAACAUAAAGGAAGAAACUGUGUAAGAAAAGACACUCUUAGGUUACCAGAAAAAUGUUCGGGAGAGAAUUGUGAUAAUUAAGAAUUAAAAUACUGAGCAGGGGAUCUGGAAGAUAACCAGGAGAGAGGUGGGAGGGCCGCGAGACAAGAGGGGGGUAUAUUUUAUGGUAUAGGGUGGUUUUGUUUUGUUUUUUUGGGUUUUUUUGUUGUUGUUUUUUUAUGUGAUCACAUGUGGCUCUCCCCUUUUAUUGUACCACUAAAAAUCAUAAAUAAAAGAGGAAAAAAAUUAUUAUUCUAUUAUUAUUGUAGUACAGUAGAGUCUCACUAAUCCAAGCCUCGCUUAUCCAAGCCUCUGGAUAAUCCAAGCCAUUUUUGUAGUCAAUGUUUUCAAUAUACUGUGAUAUUUUGGUGCUAAAUUCGUAAAUACAGUAAUUACAUCAUAACAUUACUGCAUAUUGAACUACCUUUUCUGUCCAAUUUGUUGUAUAACAGGAUGUUUUGGUGCUUAAUUUGUAAAAUCAUAACCUAAUUUGAUGUUUAAUAGGCUUUUCCUUAAUCCCUCCUUAUUAUCUAAGUUAUUCGCUUAUCCAAGCUUCUGCCGGCCCGUUUAGCUUGGAUAAGUGAGACUCUACUGUAUAUUAUUAUUACUAUCAUGUUAUUAUUAUAUUAUUCAUUAUUCAUGACUACAUUGAAACUAGAAUAGAGAGAAAUCAGCGUGGAAACUGCAAGAGGUACCAUAGAUUGUUGUACAUGGAAAUAACGGUAGUAAAUACUUUUUGAUUUAUUAAAUACAGUUAUAUAUUACAA